rnacentral:rRNA from 1 species
UACGUAGGGAGCGAGCGUUGUCCGGAAUUACUGGGUGUAAAGGGAGCGUAGGCGGGCGAGAAAGUUGAAUGUUAAAUCUACCGGCUUAACUGGUAGCUGCGUUCAAAACUUCUUGUCUUGAGUGAAGUAGAGGCAGGCGGAAUUCCUAGUGUAGCGGUGAAAUGCGUAGAUAUUAGGAGGAACACCAGUGGCGAAGGCGGCCUGCUGGGCUUUAACUGACGCUGAGGCUCGAAAACGUGGGGAGCAAACAGG